UUUGUUAUGGUGUCUAGCACAUAAAAAUUUGAUUUUUAGGGGGAUAUAAUAUAUCUAACAAUU
rnacentral:tRNA from 1 species